rnacentral:rRNA from 1 species
GACGAACGCUGGCGGCAUGCCUAACACAUGCAAGUCGAACGAGCACUUCGGGUAUAGUGGCGCACGGGUGCGUAACGCGUGGGAACCUGCCCUUAGGUUCGGACUAACUCCCCGAAAGGGGUGCUAAUACCGGAUAAUGUCUUCGGACCAAAGAUUUAUCGCCUUUGGAUGGACCCGCGUUGGAUUAGCUAGUUGGUAGGGUAAAAGCUUACCAAGGCGACGAUCCAUAGCUGGUUAGAGAGGAUGAUCAGCAACACUGGGACUGAGACACGGCCCAGACUCCUACGGGAUGCAGCAGUGGGGAAUAUUGGACAAUGGGCGAAAGCCUGAUCCAGCAAGGCCGCGUGAGUGAUGAAGGCCUUAGGGUUGUAAAGCUCUUUUACCCGGGAUGAUAAUGACAGUACCGGGAGAAUAAGCUCCGGCUAACUCCGUG